CACCUCAAUCCAGAAGAAGAAGAAAGAAUGGGGAAAAACAACGUUUUAGAUCACAAAUGUUCCGGUUCACGAGAAAUCAGACACAAGUCUUCAGCUCUCCUCAACCCUUCGUCUUUUCAAAGUCGUAUAGAAGCGGCUUCAAUCACGAAGCUACAGCAAGGAGAGCGACAUGGAACUGAAGACAAAUCUAGAAGCCACCUUGAGGAGCUUAAAGUUGACAUCCAGGCUAAGCUAACUGCUCCUUGUGAAUGCUAACAUAUCAACCCUGAUGGAGCUCGAGGCUAAACUAUCAUACAACCUGUGGAGGAUUUCCAACAGGAAAAUACACAACGAGAUCAUCUGUAAGAUCGACGUGGAUCAACAAGUAUGAAUGAACAUCAUUCAUCAUUUACAAAUGUAUUAUUCACUCAGCGUUUAGCUAUUUUAACAUAUCACUUUAUGACCAAGUGUUAAGAGACAUUUAUUUUAAAUGAGUUUAGGCGAACUAUUAAUGUCAUAAAUGUUAUGUUUUGUAUGAUAUGAACUUUUAAUAAACAGUUUUUCUUUUA